GGGGCGGACGUGUCUGUCGGUUUGGCACAGCGGCCUGCUAAGCCGCGACCCGCAAGGUCCGAGGGUUCGACUCCCUCCCGCCCCGCCA
rnacentral:tRNA from 1 species